GACAGAGGGUGCAAACGUUGCUCGGAAUCACUGGGCGUAAAGGGCGUGUAGGCGGGAAGGAAAGUCGGGCGUGAAAUCCCUGGGCUCAACCCAGGAACUGCACUCGAAACUUCUUUUCUUGAGUGCCGGAGAGGAAAGCGGAAUUCCUGGUGUAGAGGUGAAAUUCGUAGAUAUCAGGAGGAACACCAGUGGCGAAGGCGGCAUCCUGGACCGGCAUUGACGCUGAGGAGCGAAAGCCAGGGGAGGCAAACGGG
rnacentral:rRNA from 1 species